CCCACUCCCGCGCCAAGCUCGCUCGUCCCCACCGCCUCGCAUGUCGCCUCGCUCGGCUCCACCGAAUCAUCCUCGAGUCGUUCACCACCCAGUACGCCACUGCCACCUCUUCCUUCCCGUGCACUCCCGAUACAGCCACCCAACAACACACACCGUAUGACCACACGUGCCAAAACAGGGUUCUUAAUGCCCAAACGGCUCUUUCUUGCCGACGCCUCAUCCACCAUCUCCCCCAUUCCUCCCACGUACAAAUCCGCUCUCAAGGAUCCCCAUUGGCGUCAAGCAAUGUUAGAUGAGUUUAAUGCAUUAAUGAACAACUUUACUUGGUCUUUGGUGCCUAAGCCUGCAGGUGCGAAUGUGGUCACGGGCAAGUGGAUUUUUCGGCACAAGUUCAACACGGACGGGUCUUUGGCACGGUACAAGGCACGGUGGGUCGUUCGUGGCUUCACCCAACAAGAG
rnacentral:rRNA from 1 species